rnacentral:misc_RNA from 1 species
GUUCCGUAGGUGAACCUGCGGAAGGAUCAUUAUUGUAUAACCGAGGUGCAAGGGCUGUCGCUGACCCGAAAGGUCGUGCACGCCCGAGUGCCCUCACACACAUCCAUCUCACCCCUAUGUGCACCACCGCGUGGGUCCCCCUUUGGCUUGUUCGGAGGGGGGCUUACGUUUUCACACAAACUUUGUAUGCAGUGUAGAAUGUAUUUUUUGUUUUUGCGAUCACGCAAUCAAUACAACUUUCAACAACGGAUCUCUUGGCUCUC